AUACGGAGGAUGCGAGCGUUAUCCGGAUUUAUUGGGUUUAAAGGGAGCGUAGGUGGGAUAUUAAGUCAGCUGUGAAAGCUUGGGGCUCAACCGUAAAAUUGCAGUUGAUACUGGCUGUCUUGAGUACAGUAGAGGUGGGCGGAAUUCGUGGUGUAGCGGUGAAAUGCUUAGAUAUCACGAAGAACUCCGAUUGCGAAGGCAGCUCACUGGACUGCAACUGACACUGAUGCUCGAAAGUGUGGGUAUCAAACAGGAUUAGAUACCCUGGUAGUCCACACAGUAAACGAUGAAUACUCGCUGUUUGCGAUACACGGUAAGCGGCCAAGCGAAAGCGUUAAGUAUUCCACCUGGGGAGUACGCCGGCAACGGUGAAACUCAAAUGAAUUGGCGGGG
rnacentral:rRNA from 1 species